CUACAAUUGGCGCUUCAACUUCGC
rnacentral:siRNA from 1 species